UGAACGCUGGCGGCGUGCCUAAUACAUGCAAGUCGAGCGAACGGACGAGAAGCUUGCUUCUCUGAUGUUAGCGGCGGACGGGUGAGUAACACGUGGAUAACCUACCUAUAAGACUGGGAUAACUUCGGGAAACCGGAGCUAAUACCGGAUAAUAUUUUGAACCGCAUGGUUCAAAAGUGAAAGACGGUCUUGCUGUCACUUAUAGAUGGAUCCGCGCUGCAUUAGCUAGUUGGUAAGGUAACGGCUUACCAAGGCAACGAUGCAUAGCCGACCUGAGAGGGUGAUCGGCCACACUGGAACUGAGACACGGUCCAGACUCCUACGGGAGGCAGCAGUAGGGAAUCUUCCGCAAUGGGCGAAAGCCUGACGGAGCAACGCCGCGUGAGUGAUGAAGGUCUUCGGAUCGUAAAACUCUGUUAUUAGGGAAGAACAUAUGUGUAAGUAACUGUGCACAUCUUGACGGUACCUAAUCAGAAAGCCACGACUAACUACGUG
rnacentral:rRNA from 1 species